CUCCUCGAUGUGGACUAUGAUGC
rnacentral:siRNA from 1 species